UUCUCAUUGAAUGAUGACUCCCACGUGUCAUGUUCUGAUUGGAUGUCAACUUUAUGAAAGAUGAAAUGCAUUAUUUUUUUAUUGAUCAGAACAUGACACGUGGCAAUCAUCAUCC
rfam:Glycine soja cultivar W05 scaffold978_142, whole genome shotgun sequence.